rnacentral:lncRNA from 1 species
UGGAGCUGUUCCUAUUCGGCCAUCAUAGAACCUCCUCCUAAUCAUGAAGCAGCAUUCUACAUCCAGGUACCAGCUUUAUGAUAGUGAGAGAAGAGGAACAAGACACCAUGUCUUGCCAAUGCCCGUCUAGCAUGCGUGGAGUGCAUAUACAGCUACAAGUCCUAGUGGCAGCCCACUCCUGAUUCCUGGCUCACACAGUGGUGCCCUCCUGAAGCCAACAGUUCCUGUGGAAGCUGC